CGGGACACGUGGUAUCCUGUCUGAAUAUGGGGGGACCAUCCUCCAAGGCUAAAUACUCCUGACUGACCGAUAGUGAACCAGUACCGUGAGGGAAAGGCGAAAAGAACCCCGGCGAGGGGAGUGAAAAAGAACCUGAAACCGUGUACGUACAAGCAGUGGGAGCCUCUUUUAUGGGGUGACUGCGUACCUUUUGUAUAAUGGGUCAGCGACUUAUAUUCUGUAGCAAGGUUAACCGAAUAGGGGAGCCGAAGGGAAACCGAGUCUUAACUGGGCGUUAAGUUGCAGGGUAUAGACCCGAAACCCGGUGAUCUAGCCAUGGGCAGGUUGAAGGUUGGGUAACACUAACUGGAGGACCGAACCGACUAAUGUUGAAAAAUUAGCGGAUGACUUGUGGCUGGGGGUGAAAGGCCAAUCAAACCGGGAGAUAGCUGGUUCUCCCCGAAAGCUAUUUAGGUAGCGCCUCGUGAAUUCAUCUCCGGGGGUAGAGCACUGUUUCGGCAAGGGGGUCAUCCCGACUUACCAACCCGAUGCAAACUGCGAAUACCGGAGAAUGUUAUCACGGGAGACACACGGCGGGUGCU
rnacentral:rRNA from 1 species